UGCCAGCCGCCGCGGUAAUACGGAGGGGGUUAGCGUUGUUCGGAAUUACUGGGCGUAAAGCGCGCGUAGGCGGACCAGUCAGUUAGAGGUGAAAUCCCGGGGCUCAACCCCGGAACUGCCUUUAAUACUGCUGGUCUUGAGUUCGAGAGAGGUGAGUGGAAUUCCAAGUGUAGAGGUGAAAUUCGUAGAUAUUUGGAGGAACACCAGUGGCGAAGGCGGCUCACUGGCUCGAUACUGACGCUGAGGUGCGAAAGUGUGGGGAGCAAACAGGAUUAGAUA
rnacentral:rRNA from 1 species